rnacentral:rRNA from 1 species
AGUGGCGGACGGGUGGGUAACGCGUGGGUAACCUGCCUCAUACAGGGGAUAGCAGUUAGAAAUAGACUGCUAAUACCGCAUAAGACCACAGCACCGCAUGGUGCAAGGGGUAAAAACUCCGGUGGUACGAGAUGGACCCGCGUCUGAUUAGGUAGUUGGUGGGGUAACGGCCUACCAAGCCGACGAUCAGUAGCCGACCUGAGAGGGUGACCGGCCACAUUGGGACUGAGACACGGCCCAA